AUGGUUCAAGUGGUGGUGGCAGCUGAGGGACUGGGGAUCAGCUCCCCUGUCUGCACCUGGCAAGAACAUGCUGGAAGAACAGCCCCAUCUGUCUAUCCCUUGGCCCCUGCCUGUGAUCGCACAACAGACACCACAGACACGGUGACCCUGGGAUGCCUGGUCAAGGGCUAUUUCCCUGAGCCGGUGACCGUAAGCUGGAACUCUGGAGCCCUGACCAGCGGCGUGCACACCUUCCCAUCUGUCCUGCAUUCUGGGCUCUACUCCCUCAGCAGCUCAGUGACUGUACCUUCCAGCACCUGGCCCAGCCAGACCGUCACCUGCAACGUAGCCCACCCGGCCAGCAGCACCAAUUUGAACAAGAGAAUUGAGCCUAGAAGCUGCUCAGGUCCCUCGUGCUCACGUAAGUCAUUUAAGACUCUUUCUUUAGUCCCAGGAAAUAAUUAUCACAAACUGUUACACACUGGAGGCCUGGUUUAUGACCCACCCUAUCUCUCUUCUCUAGCUGCCUGCAUCGGUGGACCAUCUGUCUUCAUCUUCCCCCCAAAGCCCAAAGAGACACUCAUGAUCUCCCUGACCCCCAAGAUCACAUGUGUGGUGGUGGACGUGAGCGAGGAUGAGCCAGACGUCCAGUUCAACUGGUUUGUGAACAACGCAGAAGUGUACACAGCUCAGACACAGCCCCGGCAGCAGCAGUACAACAGCACCUACCGCGUGGUCAGUGUCCUGCCCAUCCAGCACCAGGACUGGCUGAAUGGCAAGGAGUUCAAAUGCAAGGUCAACAACAAAGCCCUCCCUAGCCCCAUUGAGAAAACCGUCUCCAAACCCAGAGGGCAACCCCGGGUGCCUCAAGUGUACACCAUGCCUCCACCUCAAGAACAAAUGUCCAAGAAGAAGGUCAGUCUGACAUGCAUGGUCACGGACUUCUACUCUGACGCCAUCAGCGUGGAGUGGGAGCGGAACGGGAUGCUGGAGCAGAACUACAAGAACACCCCUCCCAUUCUGGACUCAGACGGUUCCUACUUCCUCUACAGCAAGCUCACUGUGGACACGAGCACCUGGUUGCGAGGAGACACGUUCACUUGCUCUGUGGUGCACGAAGCCUUGCACAACCACCACACACAGAAGAAUCUCUCCCGCUCCCCGGAGCUGGAACUGGACGACAGCUGUGCUGAGGCCCAGGACGGGGAGCUGGACGGACUCUGGACAACCAUCACCAUCUUCAUCACCCUCUUCCUGCUCAGCGUGUGCUUCAGCGCCACCGUCACACUCUUCAAGGUCAAGUGGAUCAUCUCCUCCGUGGCGGAGGUAAAGCAGAUAGUUGCCCCUGACUACAGGAACAUGAUUGGGCAGGGCGCCUAG